CAGCAGCCGCGGGAAUACAGAGGGUGCAAGCGUUAAUCGGAAUUACUGGGCGUAAAGCGCGCGUAGGUGGUUUGUUAAGUUGGAUGUGAAAGCCCCGGGCUCAACCUGGGAACUGCAUCCAAAACUGGCAAGCUAGAGUACGGUAGAGGGUGGUGGAAUUUCCUGUGUAGCGGUGAAAUGCGUAGAUAUAGGAAGUAACACCAGUGGCGAAGGCGACCACCUGGACUGAUACUGACACUGAGGUGCGAAAGCGUGGGGAGCAAACAGGAUUAGAUACCCGAGUAGUCCCUGUCUCUUAUAC
rnacentral:rRNA from 1 species